rnacentral:tRNA from 1 species
GCCACCUUAGCUCAGUUGGUAGAGCGGCUCAUUCGUAAUGAGCAGGUCAUCGGUUCGAGUCCGAUAGGUGGCU